CAAAAUAAAAGCAGAAGCCCCACUGUUUAGAGAGUCCAGGCAACCACCAGUCCAUCUGCCUCAACAACCAGGCCACUCAAAAGCCUCAUUUCAAGGGCAAAACAUCAGAAAGGAGGAGCAAUGCAAAAGGCAAAAAAGGCUGACACAGAGCAUCCAAGAUUUUCUGCAAUGAGAAUACAACUUCUUUGAAAUUUUAAGUUUUUAAAGAAGAUCAUCCACAGUAACCCAUCUUAGCAAAAACCUCACCAGUCAUGCACAAAUUGAGUAAAUCAGAAGCAAUACUGUGUUCAAACUUGACUGAGUUUGAGUAAAUUUGUUAAUUCUUCUGAGCCACAUACUAGGAUUGCUGUGGACCAGCCUCUUCCCUUUACAGAAAGACUCAACUCCUGCUGACAGCAUCUUGAACAGCCUUCUCUGCCUCCUCCCA
rnacentral:lncRNA from 1 species